CAGCAGCCACGGUAAUACGUAGGUGGCAAGCGUUGUCCGGAAUUAUUGGCGUAAAGGGCUCGCAGGCGGUUUCUUAAGUCUGAUGUGAAAGCCCCCGGCUCAACCGGGGAGGGUCAUUGGAAACUGGGAAACUUGAGUGUAGAAGAGGAGAGUGGAAUUCCACGUGUAGCGGUGAAAUGCGUAGAGAUGUGGAGGAACACCAGUGGCGAAGGCGACUCUCUGGUCUGUAACUGACGCUGAAGAGCGAAAGCGUGGGGAGCGAACAGGAUUAGAUACCCCCGUAGUCCCUGUCUCUUAUACA
rnacentral:rRNA from 1 species